GAUGAACGCUAGCUACAGGCUUAACACAUGCAAGUCGUGGGGCAGCGGAUGCUUAGCUUGCUAAGUAUGCCGGCGACCGGCGCACGGGCGAGUAACGCGUACCGAACCUGCCCAUCACACAGGGAUAGGCUUGCGAAAGCAAGAUUAAUAUCUGAUGGUCUCAGUUGUAUGCAUGUAUGAUUGAGUAAAGCCUUCGGGCGGUGAUGGAUGGCGGUGCGUCCCAUUAGGAAGUUGGCGGGGUAACGGCCCACCAAUCCUUCGAUGGGUAGGGGUUCUGAGAGGAAGGUCCCCCACAUUGGAACUGAGAUACGGUCCAAACUCCUACGGAAGGCAGCAGUGAGGAAUAUUGGUCAAUGGGCGAGAGCCUGAACCAGCCAAGUAGCGUGCGGGAUGAAGGCCCUUGUGGUCGUAAACCGCUUUUAUCAGUGAAUAAAGUGCAUCACGUGUGGUGUCAUUGCAGGUAGCUGAAGAAAAAGGACCGGCUAAUUCCGUGCCAGCAGCCGCGGUAAUACGGAAGGUCCGGGCGUUAUCCGGAAUUAUUGGGUUUAAAGGGAGCGCAGGCGGGAGUAUAAGUCAGCUGUUAAAUAUCAGAGCCCAACUCUGUUAUGCAGUUGAACUAUAUUUCUUGAGUACGCACAGGGAUGGCGGAAUUCAGGGUGUAGCGGUGAAUGCUUAGAUAUCCUGAAGAACUCCGAUCGCGAAGGCAGCCAUCCGGAGCGUAACUGACGCUGAGGCUCGAAGGUGCGGGUAUCGAACAGG
rnacentral:rRNA from 1 species